rnacentral:rRNA from 1 species
AGCGAACGCUGGCGGCAGGCCUAACACAUGCAAGUCGAGCGGCCGUAGCAAUACGGCAGCGGCAGACGGGAGAGUAACACGUGGGAACGCGCCCUUCGGUUCGGGAUAACUCAGGGAAACUUGGGCUAAUACCGGAUACGCCCUUACGGGGAAAGAUUUAUUGCCGAAGGAACGGCCCGCGUCCGAUUAGCUUGUUGGUGAGGUAACGGCUCACCAAGGCGACGAUCGGUAGCUGGUCUGAGAGGAUGACCAGCCUCACUGGAACUGAGACACGGCCCAGACUCCUACGGGAGGCAGCAGUGGGGAAUAUUGGACAAUGGGCGCAAGCCUGAUCCAGCCAUGCCGCGUGGGUGAUGAAGGCCCUAGGGUUGUAAAGCCCUUUCAGCGGGGAAGAUAAUGACGGUACCCGCAGAAGAAGCCCCGGCUAACUUCGUGCCAGCCGCCGCCGUAAGAC